rnacentral:lncRNA from 1 species
AUUGCUACUUCCUGAUUGCUAGAUCCAAUCAGCCUAAUACUAUCCAUGUAAGGGAUCAGUGUGAUGGCCUGUGAAAGAGAAAGGUAACCAAGGUCCCUGGGGGCUAGAUUAUGACAUAGAGAUGGAGAGCAAGAACAAGCUGGAAUGUCCUGGCAUGAGCUGGGAGCUACGAAGAUGGACUGAAACUUGGGUGAGUUCUUAUUGCCUUUGACCUUGAGGUUAUCCCUCAGAGGCUAGAAUCCUUUGUCUCAGAGCUAGGCCUACAUACUUGGUCCAGUAUUCAGGGGAAGUUGCAGUAAUUGCAAGCCCAGCAAUAGUCUCACAACAACAAGGUAAGUCAGCAGAAAGUGACAAUGUAUGUGAGCUACUAAAUGGCUGCUGUUUCCCUUUGGCCCAACAAAUCUCUUAUAAGAAUCUCUUUUGCAGCCCACCCUAACCAGAAACAUGCAGGAAAUGGAAUUCAGUCUAGCUGCGAUGACACCUUAUAAAUCCAUCACAGUCUAUAAUCCCAUAUUCUGAGUGCAUGCUUCUUUUCACAUGAGUUGGACAAGAAGAGAUACAUGGUGCAAAGUAAAUUCAUUCUUUCUAAGGAAGAUACCAUCAUUUCAUGAUGCAAACUUUACCUCCUUUACUGUUGAGAGGCCACCUCCCUGUAGCAUUUUGGGCUGAUCCUGGUGGUUUCAGCCACAUGGGGGCAACCAAGUUUCUACCCCCUAUCUGAGGAGUUUAUACAAAUAUCACCAGCAAAGGGCUAUGAAGAAGUGAAUAUUCCCUGGAGUUCUGGACCUGCAGAGCACAGUUCCUGCCCAGUGACACCAUCAGAGACUGAAAGGAGUGAGGAAAGUCUCAGAGAAGGUCAGUGGGAGGAAAAUUCAAACCUGUGGCCAAGCUCAGGAGCUCCAGAGGGCAUCCCUGUACCACGAGAGUUUGUGCUCAGAAUGACGGCCCUGAGUCAUCCAGAGAAGUGCAAGGUGCUCUCUCCAUCCUCUCUUUCCUGAAGACAAAAA